CGGGACACGUGGUAUCCUGUCUGAAUAUGGGGGGACCAUCCUCCAAGGCUAAAUACUCCUGACUGACCGAUAGUGAACCAGUACCGUGAGGGAAAGGCGAAAAGAACCCCGGCGAGGGGAGUGAAAAAGAACCUGAAACCGUGUACGUACAAGCAGUGGGAGCACGCUUAGGCGUGUGACUGCGUACCUUUUGUAUAAUGGGUCAGCGACUUAUAUUCUGUAGCAAGGUUAACCGAAUAGGGGAGCCGAAGGGAAACCGAGUCUUAACUGGGCGUUAAGUUGCAGGGUAUAGACCCGAAACCCGGUGAUCUAGCCAUGGGCAGGUUGAAGGUUGGGUAACACUAACUGGAGGACCGAACCGACUAAUGUUGAAAAAUUAGCGGAUGACUUGUGGCUGGGGGUGAAAGGCCAAUCAAACCGGGAGAUAGCUGGUUCUCCCCGAAAGCUAUUUAGGUAGCGCCUCGUGAAUUCAUCUCCGGGGGUAGAGCACUGUUUCGGCAAGGGGGUCAUCCCGACUUACCAACCCGAUGCAAACUGCGAAUACCGGAGAAUGUUAUCACGGGAGACACACGGCGGGUGCUAACGUCCGUCGUGAAGAGGGAAACAACCCAGACCGCCAGCUAAGGUCCCAAAGUCAUGGUUAAG
rnacentral:rRNA from 3 species